UAUCGGGUAUGCUUGCCUGAUGAGGUCGU
rnacentral:sRNA from 1 species